rnacentral:rRNA from 1 species
GACGAACGCUGGCGGCGUGCUUAACACAUGCAAGUCGAACGGAAAGGCCCUGCUUUUGUGGGUUGCUCGAGUGGGGAACGGGUGAGUAACACGUGAGUAACCUGCACUUGACUUUGGGAUAACUUCAGGAAAAUGGGGCUAAUACCGGAUAGGAGCUCCUGCUGCAUGGUGGGGAUUGGAAAGUUUCGGCGGUUGGGGAUGGUAUCGCGGCUUAUCAGCUUGUUGGUGGGGUAGUGGAUUACCAAGGCUUUGACGGGUAGCCGGCCUGAGAGGGUGACCGGCCACAUUGGUACUGAGAUACGGCCCAGACGCCUACGGGAGGCAGCAGUGGGGAAUAUGGCACAAUGGGCGGAAGCCUGAGGCAGCAACGCCGCGUGCGGGAUGACGGCCUUCUGGUUGUAAACCGCUUUCGCCUGUGACGAAGCGUGAGUGACGGUAAUGGGUAAAGAAGCACCGGCUAACUACGUG